UAGGUAUAAUGCUAUUAGGCAAUUGAUAGACUGCAGUAAAGUAUAAACAUGACUUUGACAUGCGCUGAGAAACCAAAGCAUUCAUUUGACAUGCUUGGUUGGGGUGGUCUGGAACUGAACCCAUAAUAUCUGCAAGGCAUGCCUGUCGAGCCAUGAAAUGAAUUGCCCAGAGGGCCACCAGCUCAGAAUCGGUGGAGCAGAUUGUGACCCCGGUCUGACUACCCAUCAUACCAUGCCACCUCCAAAUUCCUACCAUUUAAUUAGGAGGUUCUCCCCUCCCCUGGUGUCUCGCAAUCCCUUUCCAUUUUGUGUGACUUUCUCCCCAGUGGUACAUAGAACUAAACAUCAUUUGAAAGACGAAGUCACUCUGUUGAUCUUUUGAGUAGAGUUAAUACCCUUAGAGAGAGAGAAAGCACUUCUUUAUUCUUUUACUCCAUUGGUAGCAACCGUGCAACCUGAAUUCUCGAAUAGUCUAGUCCAGAUUCCUGUUGGCUAACACAGUCUCAUUAAAAAACCACUUAUCUGCAUUCCUUUACUGCGGUUGCUGUCCUUUCUGUGCCUCUGUGAUGGGGAGUUGCUCUGGGGGUCUACGUCCUGGCAUCAGGUCCUUUCUAGCGCUGCACAAUGACCCUUCAUGUAUUACAGAUAUGCGCCAACCAUGAGCAGUUUCCUUAAGGAAAACCUUCUUUGUCGGCAUGAGAUCGAUUGCUCAACCUCCCCCAACACCUAGCUGCGGCCACGUCCAUAUAAUGAAGAAUACUGGUUUGAACGAAGAGUUGAGCAAGCAUUUUUCUUGGUCACUGAUGAAACUUGAGAGACUGCCUAGUUCACUCGAGAUGUAGGGUUUCCGCUCAAUAUUAUAGCGUCAAGGCUUAUCCAUAUGGAAAUACGUAGAACUGGUUCAUUCACUUUUACAACUGUGAAUUGUUGCAGCAUAUCGAUUAAAUCACAAUUUAAAAAAAAAAUCUAUCCCUUGACUUGUUCUUAAAAAAACAAGUCUGUUUGUUUUGACGUGACAAACCACUGUGGCGAAUAUUCUUGCCCAUGUCUACUUGUUCACGUUUGCAAGAAUUUUUCUAGAGUGCGUGAUAAGCUAUGGAACUGAUGAUUCGCUGGGUGUUCCUCAUCUUUACCUUUAUUAGCUAUUGCCAAAUUAUUCUCCAUUUUACAUUCCUCUCAGCAGUAGACGUAUGAGACUUUCUUUGACCACACGUCUUCAUCAGCCCUGGGUUUUAUCAGAUUUUUAUUUCUUUCUUUUUGCCUACCUGAUGGGGGUGAAAUAUUUCAUUGCUGUUUUGAAGGUCUUCAAGUGUUUGAAAAAUAGCCGACUCGGUAGCUCUGUGAAAAUGCAGCUUGUUCCAACUGAAAUCGAUAAUGCAUGAGAAGAAUUUAUUCAACGAGGUCCAGUGACUGUGGUCAAGGAAACAAGUUGCCGCCAGGGCUUCGAGCGGUUGUAUUAAGAAAUAAAAAUGUCACUGGUAUUCAUAUUGUAACAAGCUGGAAAAAGUUCUUCCCCUUUUCCUAUGCUACUUACCUUUUUCUGUUCAGUUUGGGUUAUGAAUUUGGUGCUAGCAAUAAAUGAACAAGUCAAGAUUGGCAUCCGUCUGCAUGAGGAAAGCAGGUGCUUAGACAUGUGAAACCUGGCUUUAAACAGUGUGCUGCGCUUCCUUGGAAGGGCUUGAAGAUGCUCUCAGAUGCUUAGGGUGCAGCAGGAUCGGGUGGAGGAAUUGGCCUUGGCCCUGCAGAGCGGGCAGGUGCCUGUGACGGUGCCCUGUGAGGCUGGGCCACGCUCUGGAGAGCAGCCACAACUCCUUGGCCUCAUUAGUUAGUUACCUGAUAAUCCAUGUCUAUUUUCCCUUUGUUAUCUCGGAGCCUUUAAUUAAGUCUUAUUUCAUCAUUUUAGUCUUAUUGAGACCUGCUACAGGAAAUGCAGGAAAGAGUCUUAAGUCCACUUGAGUCCAAUUUAUAAAAAAGCAGAAGUGGCCCUGGAGACAAAGGCAGCAGCAACAGUGAUGGGGGACAAGACUCCAAGGCAAAGGUGAAUCUUGAGGGGACUGAAAUCUGAUGAUCAAUCCAGGAGAUUCUACCUCUGUUCCGAUCUUGGACGGGUUGUUAAGGGAGACAGUUUCCCUCACGCGCUGCUAGGCAGGUGAAUCCUGGCUGACUCCUUUGUGAAAUCAGCCCCCCUGUUCCUUAAUUUCCAGGGAGUCGGCGUGAUGUGGCAGAAAGAACAUGCCUUUUGAAGCUGGCAAACUUGAGUUCGCAUCCAUGCUGGGAAAUGUUUGUGAACUUGGGCAAAUUAACAUCCUGAGCCUCCAGUUCCUCAGCUCUACAGUGAGGGAGAAGAGCUUUUUGAAGGUAUGACAUCACCAAUCUUUGAGGGACGCUGUCGGAUGACCAGAUUAACAGACCCUGGGGACACUCUUUGGGGUACCUGGAUGUCAGACACACCAAACUAUUCUCCCCAAACCCAAACAGCUUUCAUCCAUCAUUAGCACUUCAGGGUUUGUUUCUGUUUUAUUGUAAAUAUUCCAGUUGAAGAAAGAUAAACAGACAAGAAAAAACUGCUUUGUACAGUACACAGAGUCAGAUAGAAAAUACAGAAUGGAAAAGAAAGCCAACGACGAACAGAUAAAAAGCGGAGACAUACCAAGGAAGACAACUAGUUGGGUGCAGGUUCACUCACCAGCUGGAGUGAGGUGCAGCGAUAGUCCAGCAGCUAAUAGAAACUGUCUAGCGCUGUCAGUCUUAUCUUUAUUCCACGCAGUGAAAGAAACAGACUUUAUAAAUGAUUCAUGGGGACAUUUAUUUCCCUAAUCCAUUAAAAAACGUUUGCUAUUGAUCAAGAUAUCCUGCUCAUAAAAAUGAGGUUGGUUCUUUUGUUGUUGUUUAAAAAAAAAAAAAAAUACCCAACCCUUCCUGCCCCAAAUGUGAUCUAACAGUAGGGACCACAUUGUGAG